rnacentral:rRNA from 1 species
UACGUAGGGAGCAAGCGUUGUCCGGAAUCAUUGGGCGUAAAGCGCGCGUAGGCGGCCCUGUAAGUCCGUUGUGAAAGUCAAAGGCUCAACCUUUGAAAGCCGAUGGAUACUGCAGGGCUAGAGUCCGGUAGGGGAGUGUGGAAUUCCCGGUGUAGCGGUGAAAUGCGCAGAUAUCGGGAGGAACACCAGUAGCGAAGGCGGCACUCUGGGCCGGUACUGACGCUGAGGAGCGAAAGCGUGGGGAGCGAACAGG